UACGGAGGGUGCGAACGUUAGUCGGAAUUACUGGGCGUAAAGCGCGCGUAGGCGGUUCUGCAAGUGGGAUGUGAAAGCCCCGGGCUUAACCUGGGAACUGCGUUCCAAACUACCGGGCUAGAGGAUGGGAGAGGGAGGUAGAAUUUCCUGUGUAGCGGUGAAAUGCGUAGAUAUAGGAAGGAAUACCGGUGGCGAAGGCGGCCUCCUGGCCCACUACUGACGCUGAGGUGCGAAAGCGUGGUGAGCAAACAGG
rnacentral:rRNA from 1 species